AAUUGGCGCUGGUCUCUGUGACGGCUUCUUUGGCAUCUGUGCUGCUCUGUGCUGUUGCAAUUGUAGUGACUGUGGCAGCUACGGUUGCAGCUGCAGCGACUGUUGCUGCUGCCGCUGCUGUGGUUGUUGUUGUCGGCGGACUGCCAACACAAUUGACAGCCGUUGAGACAA
rnacentral:sRNA from 1 species